ACCUACCUCUUACCCUUGACUUAUAUUUAUAGUUUUCUUCAUGGGCCGAUGAUUAGUGAAAUCUUAAUUACGGCCCAGUCAUAGGUCCACCAUGGUUGAUUUGGUUUUACCUUCUUGUCAUAUUUUAAUCUGCAACCUCCAUUGGACGCCCGUUCCGCCAGAGAGCUUUGGCGAGAAACUAGUCCAACUUGAGAUCAGACUCUACCAUCUGCGUGACCGUCCGUCUUGCGCGCUAUACAUG
rnacentral:lncRNA from 1 species